CCUACGGGAGACAGCAGUGAGGAAUAUUGAUCAAUGGACGAGAGUCUGAACCGGCCAAGUAGCGUGAAGGAUGACUGCCCUAUGGGUUGUAAACUUCUUUUAUAUGGGAAUAAAAUGUUCCACGUGUGGGAUUUUGUAUGUACCAUAUGAAUAAGGAUCGGCUAACUCCGUGCCAGCAGCCGCGGUAAUACGGAGGAUCCGAGCGUUAUCCGGAUUUAUUGGGUUUAAAGGGAGCGUAGGUGGAUUGUUAAGUCAGUUGUGAAAGUUUGCGGCUCAACCGUAAAAUUGCAGUUGAAACUGGCAGUCUUGAGUACAGUAGAGGUGGGCGGAAUUCGUGGUGUAGCGGUGAAAUGCUUAGAUAUCACGAAGAACUCCGAUUGCGAAGGCAGUUCACUGGACUGCAACUGACACUGAGGCUCGAAAGUGUGGGUAUCAAACAGGAUUAGAUACCCCAGUAGUC
rnacentral:rRNA from 1 species